GACGAACGCUGGCGGCGUGCCUCAUACAUGCAAGUCGAGCGAACUGGCUUCGGUCAGUUAGCGGCGGACGGGUGAGUAACACGUGGGUAACCUGCCCUAAAGACUGGGAUAACAUCCUGAAAGGGAUGCUAAUACCGGGUAAGGUCUCUUGGCCGCAUGGCCGAGAGAAGAGAGGAGCAAUCCGCUUUAGGAUGGACCCGCGUCCCAUUAGCUAGUUGGUAAGGUAACGGCUUACCAAGGCGACGAUGGGUAGCCGACCUGAGAGGGUGACCGGCCACACUGGGACUGAGACACGGCCCAGACUCCUACGGGAGGCUG
rnacentral:rRNA from 1 species